UCGGCUGGAAGAGGAGCGUUAUUCAGGUAACUGACUGGAAGGGAGCAAACCCUAAAGAAAGUCAGUGAGGGGAAAUAACGCCGAGAAGUAACGAGUUUUGCUGCUUGUUAUUUCGGGCGCGUGGGCUGAAUCCCAACGUCUGUCACCAAUUAUGGUUUUGGUGGAGAGCUUCUGGUCUU
rnacentral:ncRNA from 2 species